CAGUCGCCACGGUAAUACGAAGGGUGCAAGCGUUAAUCGGAAUUACUGGGCGUAAAGCGUGCGUAGGCGGUUUGUUAAGUCUGUUGUGAAAUCCCCGGGCUCAACCUGGGAAUGGCAAUGGAUACUGGCAAGCUAGAGUGUGUCAGAGGAUGGUGGAAUUCCCGGUGUAGCGGUGAAAUGCGUAGAGAUCGGGAGGAACAUCAGUGGCGAAGGCGGCCAUCUGGGACAACACUGACGCUGAGGCACGAAAGCGUGGGGAGCAAACGGGAUUAGAUACCCGCGUAGUCCCUGUCUCUUAUAC
rnacentral:rRNA from 1 species